UCCCUAAACACAAAGCAGCAGCAGCCGUUUAUCUGAACGGUGAGCAGCGGCUCUCUGGCUGAACCGGACCGGGAUGCUGUGAUAUGGCCGUGAAUGAGUCCCGGGGGAAGCAGGCAGUGGACCGGCAGCUCCGCGGGGCCGGCGGACAGAGCCGCCGCCGGUGACGGUGCCGCCGUUACCGGUACCGGAAAGCUGGGCACGCUGUGGUCCGUGUCCUCCCCGCUGUUGGCCGCGCUGUCCCUGCUCCGGUCGCUCCUCUGCGGGCUGUGGAGCCGCACCGUGGCCGCUGUCAGAGCCGCGGAGCAGCCCGGCGGCAGCGGGAGCCCGGAGCGAGGCCAGCGGGUCAGAAGCCACCACGGGCGGGCCUUCGAGUUCAUCUCUGCGGCGCUGAGGAUCGAUGAGGAUGAGCAAGGUGACAAGCAGCAGGCGGUGGGCUGGUACCAGCAAGGGAUCAGCGAGCUGGAGAAAGGCAUCGCCAUCCAGAUCUCAGGAAGCGGAGAGAAAUAUGAGCGAGACAGACGGCUGCAGAACAAAAUGACCACCAACCUGAUCAUGGCGAAAGACCGACUGCAGUCUUUAGCCACGGUGCUCUCCAGGUCCAGAGCUCAGACGGACAUUAACACUGACAGCACUAACCACACCCACCUGCGCUCAGCAGGUGGCGCUGUCCCGAGGAAGAGAGAGACUGUUAAUCCAGCAGCAUCCAGCCGACUAAAGACCACCUCCUCCUCCUCCUCCUCCUCCUCCUCCUCCUCCUCCUCCUCCUCGGCAGGCCUCCAUCGCUCAUCAAACCUCAGCUCACAGCGCCGCCCUGCCCACACUAACAGGAACAGUAAGGGUAGAAACAGUCGCCGCACCGUUAAAGUCAGCUCCCCAACGUCGACGCCGCUGAAGAAGAAACACACAAAGAACCUGAAAAAUGUAGACGAGAAACUCGCCAACCUCAUCCUGAACGAGAUCGUUGACAGCGGUUCAUCCGUCAGGUUCGAGGACGUUGCCGGUCAGGAUUUGGCGAAGCAGGCGCUGCAGGAGAUCGUCAUCCUGCCGGCGCUGAGACCCGAGCUGUUUACAGGACUGCGGACUCCAGCCAGAGGUCUCCUUCUGUUCGGUCCGCCCGGUAACGGCAAGACGAUGCUGGCGAAAGCUGUGGCAGCUGAAUCCAACGCCACCUUCUUCAACAUCAGCGCCGCCAGUUUAACCUCCAAAUACGUGGGUGAAGGUGAGAAGCUGGUUCGAGCUCUGUUCUCUGUGGCCCGAGAGCUGCAGCCCUCCAUCAUCUUCAUCGAUGAAGUGGACAGUUUGCUGUGUGAACGGAGGGAGGGCGAGCACGACGCCAGCCGACGCCUCAAGACUGAAUUCCUCAUUGAGUUUGACGGGGUCCAGUCAGGAGGUGAUGACCGGGUUUUGGUGAUGGGAGCCACCAACAGGCCUCAGGAGCUGGACGAGGCCGUUCUCAGGCGUUUUGCUAAGCGCGUGUACGUCGCUCUGCCAGUUGAGGAGACGCGCUUCAAGCUGCUGAAGAACCUGUUGGAGAAACACAGCAACCCGCUGACACACAGAGAGCUGCGCCAGCUGAGCAGGAUGACGGAGGGUUACUCUGGCAGUGACCUCACCUCACUGGCUAAAGACGCCUCCCUGGGACCAAUCAGAGAAGGCCGAGUACAGUCCUCCAGACGUCCCUCUCCCCGGCAACGCUCUCCAGCUCCUCCUGGAGGACCCCGAGGUGUUCCCAGAUGAGAUCUAUAAUCCCUCCAGUGUGUUCUGGGUCUGCCCCGGGGCCUCCUACCAGCUGGACCAGGAGGAUCCUGAUCAGAUGUUGAACCACCUCAACAUGAAGGAGCAGCGGCUCUACUCCGAGCUCCCUCCAGAGUUGUGUCCAGAACAAGUGAGGAACAUGGACGCCAGCGAGAUCCGAAACAUUUGUUUCAGAGACUUUGUUGAAUCUCUGAAGAAGAUUAAGAGAAGUGUCGGUGCUCAGACU